rnacentral:rRNA from 1 species
UACGUAGGGCGCAAGCGUUGUCCGGAAUUAUUGGGCGUAAAGAGCUCGUAGGCGGUUUGUCGCGUCUGCUGUGAAAACCUAAGGCUCAACCUUGGGCUUGCAGUGGGUACGGGCAGACUAGAGUGCGGUAGGGGUGACUGGAAUUCCUGGUGUAGCGGUGGAAUGCGCAGAUAUCAGGAGGAACACCGAUGGCGAAGGCAGGUCUCUGGGCCACUACUGACGCUGAGAAGCGAAAAGCAUGGGGAGCGAACAGG